rnacentral:RNase_P_RNA from 1 species
AGAGUAAGCCGUCUUAUCGCCGUGAGUAAUCAAGGAGGAAAGUCCGGGCAGCGUAGAGCAGUGUACUUCCUAACGGGAAGGCUUUCCUGAGUAAUCGGGAAAGACAGAAAGUGCCACAGAAAACAAACUACCUCUGAUCAUAUCGGAGGAAAAGGUGAAAAGGCGAGGUAAGAGCUCACCGGCUUGGUAGUGAUACUGAGUGCAUGGUAAACCUUACACGCUGAAAGGUCAAAUAGGCCACGUUCUCUUCGGAGGUUUGCGGCUCGUGAAUUGUUCCGGCUAGCUGGAACAGGCGUGGCGGGUAGACUGAUUGAUCCCAUUAGUGAUGAUGGGGCUAGAUAAAUGAUAAGAGUCCUUCGAGCAAUCGCAGGAAACAGAACCCGGCUUAUAGGCUUACUAUUUUU